UACGGCGGUUAUGGCGGGAAGGAAACACCCGGUUACAUUCCGAACCCGGAAGUUAAGCUUCUCUGCGCCGAUGGUACUGCACCCGGGAGGGUGUGGGAGAGUAGGUCGCCGCCGGAC
rnacentral:rRNA from 1 species